UUGAGGCCACAUCGUUUCUCGGAAUGCUUAUAAGUCUCUUCAUUUGCCCCUUGCUGCAAUCUAGCAAACUGCAUACUAUCUGGAAAGAGCCUUUCCAGUGCCAAUCAAAUGUGCCUGCCAACAACCCCACCACUCCCCCUGCCUGCUGGGCGAAGCCCACACUGCUCUCUUCAGGACCCAGGACACAUCAUGAUCCAGCUCCUGGGGGCUCACCGGGUUCACCUCCUGAGGCGCCGCCUCUCCAUGCUUCAAUUCUGCCUGACCAGGAAUUCCUGGACAGACUCACCGACAGGACACUGAAGGCAGGGCAAGGCGACCCAUGGACCUCAUUCUACGGGGUGGCACAGUAACCGGUUCUCACCCAGUCCUCCUAGCUACCUGGCACGGUAGAUGGCAUCCUCCCUCCUUUUUGGUGAGGAGUUCAUCUUUGAGGUUUAAGCAGUGGUCUAAAGGGCAGGGCCCGGCAGAGGAUGGUGGCCUUGCAGUCAGUGUGUCCUGUUUGGGAUAUGAACUCCAGCCCCCACUAUCCAGUGGUGAAUACAAGGACUCCACAACCACCAAAAGAUGAUGCUGACUGAGCAAUGCAACAACAACAACAACAACAACAAACAGCUGCUAAAAAUAAGGCUGCAUUCAAGACUCAAACGUCACCUUUUGUGUGUGAGUGGGGAAAGGGACAUUGCUUCUGAACAUUUUGUUAGUAAUGUUAAACAUCUCAUAUGGUUUGGUUGUGUCCCCACCCAAAUCUCACCUUGAGUUUUACUCCCAUAAUUCCCAUGUGUUGUGGGAGGGACCCGGUGGGAGAUAAUUGAAUCAUGGGGGUGGUUUCCUUCAUACUGUUCUCUUGGUAGUGAAUAAGUCUCAUGAGAUCUGAUGGUUUGAUAAGGGGAAACCCCUUUUGCUUGGUUCUCAUUCUCUCUCUUGCUGCUGCCUUUCACCUUCCACCUCCCCAGCCACAUGGAACAGUAAGUCCAAUAAACCUCUUUCUUUUGUAAA